GACGAACGCUGGCGGCGUGCCUAAUACAUGCAAGUAGAACGCACAGUUUAUACCGUAGCUUGCUACACCAUACACUGUGAGUUGCGAACGGGUGAGUAACGCGUAGGUAACCUGCCUGGUAGCGGGGGAUAACUAUUGGAAACGAUAGCUAAUACCGCAUAAUAUUGAUUAUUGCAUGAUAAUUGAUUGAAAGAUGCUAUUGCAUCACUACCAGAUGGACCUGCGUUGUAUUAGCUAGUAGGUGAGGUAACGGCUCACCUAGGCGACGAUACAUAGCCGACCUGAGAGGGUGAUCGGCCACACUGGGACUGAGACACGGCCCAGACUCCUACGGGAGGCAGCAGUAGGGAAUCUUCGGCAAUGGACGAAAGUCUGACCGAGCAACGCCGCGUGAGUGAAGAAGGUUUUCGGAUCGUAAAGCUCUGUUGUAAGAGAAGAACGGGUGUGAGAGUGGAAAGUUCACACUGUGACGGUAUCUUACCAGAAAGGGACGGCUAACUACGU
rnacentral:rRNA from 1 species